UAGAUACCCUGGUAGUCCGCACGGUAAACGAUGGAUGCCCGCUGUUAGCGCCUGGCGUUAGCGGCUAAGCGAAAGCAUUAAGCAUCCCACCUGGGGAGUACGCCGGCAACGGUGAAACUCAAAGGAAUUGACGGGGGCCCGCACAAGCGGAGGAACAUGUGGUUUAAUUCGAUGAUACGCGAGGAACCUUACCCGGGCUUGAAUUGCAGACGCAGGAUACAGAGAUGUUGACUCCCUUCGGGGCGUCUGU
rnacentral:rRNA from 1 species